ACAUUCUGCUCUACUUUCUCAUGUCUAUGUGGCCCUCCCUGAGUGGGAAGGCUUAAGUUUUGUAAGAUUCAUCAUAAGUGUGGUGAUAUUUCCUAAUUCCAGGGAAUGGAGCUAGUCAUGCCACACAUCUUUGCUGUUUUCACGAACUGAGGUAAUUUUUAUUUUUAUUUUUAUUUUUUUGAGGAACAGUCUUACUCUGUCACCCAGGCUGCAGUGUAGUGGUGUGAUCACAGCUCACUGCAGCCUUGACCUCCUGGGCUUAGGUGAUCCUCCCACCCUAGCCUCCCAUGUAGCUGGGACUAGAGGUAUGUGCCACCUCACCUCCUUUUUUUCUUUUCUUUUUCUUUUUUGGAGAGACAGAUUCUUCUUAUGUUGCUAUUUUAAACUCCUGAACUCAAGUGAUCCUCCUGCCUUGGCCUCCCAAAGUGCUGGGAUUACAGGUGUGAGACACUGCACCCUGCCCAAGCACCUCUGCUCCGUGCCAUGCUCUUGGCUAAUUGGAGUUGUGAAAGGCAUGAGGAUUCUGGUCAUGGACUCAGCUCUCCCAUAGGGUUCUGACACCAAAGCAAUGGUCACAACAGUGAAAGGAAGAAUCCAUCUGGCCAGGCUCAGGUGGUUCAAGGCCUUCAGAAUCUGCCUUGAGACUCUCACUGGCUUUAGACUGAAAACCAUCUUGGCCCCGUCCAUCCGUGUAAGCAAUUUAACGACAGCUUGCAAAGCACCGAGCUUUAACAGAAAGAAGAGAUGAGCACAGCGCAAGAACUUGGACUCCAGAAGAGCUGCCUAACAGAUUAUUUUUCUGUGGCAUUUCAUGAGAACAAACGAAGUAGGAAUUUUCCUUUUGUUUGUCUGGCCUUUGGCAUCGUUUACUUUCUUUUUAUUCUUCUGAAAUGUACUUCGAGCCCUGGCAGCAUUUCUGUCCUAAAAUCUUAUUGUCAGAGGUUUAUUUUUCAGCUUUUCAAAUCAUAUCUGAUAGAGUGAGUGUACUGCCUGGACUCAUCACUUUACUUCAGAAGAAAUACAGCUCACCCUUUAAAUGACAAUGGUGACUGUCCACAUCUUUAUGUUUUCUACACUGAAGUGGCAGGCUUCAUUUAAAAAUAAUGUUUUCCCUCAUCAAAAGAGAGCUAGGGUAGAACCGUCAACUCUGCUGUUGUCUGGGUAGUGACCUAACACCCACGUUUUGGACAAUCACUCACUGUCUUAUAUUGGGUUUUCAUUGCAUGUAGGAUAAUUCUUUGUCAAUGGUAGUUUUGUCAACCGUGAUCUGAGGUAAUGAGGUUUUCUACUUUUGCUUGAAAUUUUGAAAAUAUGCAAGCUUUAAACAUUUGCAAAGUUGGAUUCUGUUUUCUUUAGAAAGCAAUCUGAUUUGCUGAUAUUCUCUCCAUCUGUCAGGGGAUGCGUGAUGUGGUGUAGACUUAAUGUGCUGCCUUUCUGGAACAUGGACAGAGUAGCAGCACAGAAAAAUGAGCAUUUCAGCUCUGUGAUGAUUUGUGAAAAAAAAUCUCAGAUCAUUGAGCAGGCAUUUUGCUGACACCUGUGAAAAGUAACCACAUGAGAGAGCAUGGCGUGAUGGUCGGAGGCCACGUGCUGGAGCUGGACUGCUUGAGUCAAAUCCCAGCUGCUCAGCUGUAGUGAACUGAAUGGUGGUCCCCAAAAGAUACAUGUAUCUCCUAAUCCCUGGAACCUGUGAAUGUGACCUUAUUAGGCAAAAGGGUCUUUGCAGAUGUAAUUACAUUGAGGCUCUCAGAGAUGAGAACAUCCUGGAUUAUCAGGGUGGGUCCUAUAUCCAAUGACAAGUGUCUCCUUAUAGGAGACAGAAGAAGUUGCAGACCCGGAAGAGACUAAGUAAAGAUGGAGGCAGAGACUGGAGUGAGGCUGCUGCAGGCCAAAAAUGCCUGGUGCCAGCAAAAGCUGGAAGAGGCAAGGAAGGACCUUUCCCUGGGGCUUUUGGAGGGAGUGCAGCCCUGCUGAUGCCUUAGUGUUGGAUAUCUGGGCUAUGGAACUAUGAGAGAGAAACUUCUGUUGUUUUAAGCCACCUAGUUUGUGGUACUCUGUUAUGGCAGCCACAGGAAACUAAUACACUCUUUACCACCUGAGUGACCUUGGCCAACUUACUUAACCUCCAUGAAUCAGUCCCCUCAAAGGACCACCCUCCCCCCAGGGUCACUGUGAUGAUAAAGUGCUUUAGCAUAGGUGACUGGUUUAGACCAGGGCCUGGUACCUAGCACAUGCUAUGCCAGUGUUUCUAUCAUGGCAGCAGCAGAUGCAGUGGAGCUUAGAUUUCAACUGUGUCCAUGCUGGUUAGAAAAGUCACAGUCUGGGACACAGGACACUUCUGGAAGAAUCUCCCUCAGUGGAUCCCAGUGUUCCAGCAAUGUUUUCCAAGCAGCUGAAGAACAGGAAGCAGGAACAGGGUUCCCUACAAGAGCCAUUAUUCAGAUGCCUCUACAUCUGACUGGUUUCGGAGAAGUGUGACUUCUGGAGGUUUAUGUGCUGGGACUUUAACAGCAUACGUACUAAAAACCACAUUUAUGUUUCCUCAAAUGCUGGGCUCUCUAUGAGCCUUGACCUGCCUGAGAAGAUUAGAGGCGGCUGCCUAAUCUGAUCAGUCAACUCAGUGAAACAACUGCAUUGAUUAAAGCCAUAAGAUGUUAGGAUUCUCUGUUCUUGGUGGCCUAAAAGGUCCCAUUCCUUUCCCAAAGUGCUUAGCUUGAUCCCAUCCCAGGGAACAAUUUUGGGUGGAGGAGAACCUGGCCACAGAUCAUAAGAUCAUGUAUGACUAAGUCUAC
rnacentral:lncRNA from 1 species